GUGAGGAAUAUUGGUCAAUGGCCGAGAGGCUGAACCAGCCAAGUAGCGUGAAGGAUGACUGCCCUACGGGUUGUAAACUUCUUUUAUACGGGAAUAAAGUCCGCUACGAGUAGCGGUUUGUAUGUACCGUACGAAUAAGCAUCGGCUAAUUCCGUGCCAGCAGCCGCGGUAAUACGGAAGAUGCGAGCGUUAUCCGGAUUUAUUGGGUUUAAAGGGAGCGUAGGCGGGAUGUUAAGUCAGUUGUGAAAGUUUGCGGCUCAACCGUAAAAUUGCAGUUGAUACUGGCGUCCUUGAGUGCGGCAGAGGAAGGCGGAAUUCGUGGUGUAGCGGUGAAAUGCUUAGAUAUCACGAAGAACUCCGAUUGCGAAGGCAGCUUUCUGGACCGUAACUGACGCUGAUGCUCGAAAGUGCGGGUAUCAAACAGGAUUAGAAACCCUAGUAGUCC
rnacentral:rRNA from 1 species